AAAAAAUUAGGAAAGUAGGAAAUGGGUUAACAUCAAUGGGACAGAAACCUAACAUCAAAUCAACCUAUUAAAUGACAUGUAAAGGACAAUUUUGCAGCAGUUUUCGAAUAAAAAUUGUAGCCAGUAGGAACAUAUACAUAUACUAAUUUUGAUGACAGUGAGUAAAGAAAUUGAAACUAAUUUAUAGAUAAAUUAUUGUUUUUUGGGGUUUCUUUUCAACUGACACACUUGGUUUUUUCUUGAUAGUUGUCUUGAUGGGCAAUAAAAUCGUCCCUUCUAUUUACCACUUUGACAACAAAUGAUGUUGACCUUUCAUCUUUAAAUAAGACAAAACAUUUAUGUAUUUCCCAUCCUAGAUAGCCAGGGCCAAUCUGAUAUCCACGAUGUCUGAAAUUCUCGCUUCCGCAUUAUUUUUUUUAAUACUGCUUCUCCUCCAUUUGCGUUUAAGUUUAAUACUCGACUCGUUACUCUUUUUGUCUUGCUUGUCUGGUGUUAUAGUAAGUAUUUAUCAAUCUGAAUAUCAAUACAAAAUCUAAAAAAAUGACACUUCCGGUGAAUGAUGGAUAAAACCUAAUC
rnacentral:lncRNA from 1 species